GAAUGAUGGGAUGAGGAUAACUGAGCUCCCUCUUCUGAAGUGCGCAUUGUGGAUGCUUGCUGGCAGAAUCGAACCUUUAACAUACACGCCAACACUGAGCCU